rnacentral:tRNA from 1 species
UCCGAUAUGGUCUAGUGGCUAGGAUUUGCCGCUCUCAUCAAGAGCAGAAUGCUUUGGCGCCGGCAAGGCCCGGGUUCGAUUCCCGGUGUCGGAA